GCCUGGGUGGCUCAGUCGGUUAAGCAGCUGACUUCAGAUCAGAUCAGAGGUUCGAGCCUCUCGUUGGGCU
rnacentral:tRNA from 1 species